GACGAACGCUGGCGGCGUGCUUAACACAUGCCAGUCGAACGGAAAGGCCCUGCUUUUGUGGGGUGCUCGAGUGGCGAACGGGUGAGUAACACGUGAGUAACCUGCCCUUGACUUUGGGAUAACUUCAGGAAACUGGCGCUAAUACCGGAUAGGAGCUCCUGCUGCAUGGUGGGGGUUGGAAAGUUUCGGCGGUUGGGGAUGGACUCGCGGCUUAUCAGCUUGUUGGUGGGGUAGUGGCUUACCAAGGCUUUGACGGGUAGCCGGCCUGAGAGGGUGACCGGCCACAUUGGGACUGAGAUACGGCCCAGACUCCUACGGGAGGCAGCAGUGGGGAAUAUUGCACAAUGGGCGGAAGCCUGAUGCAGCAACGCCGCGUGCGGGAUGACGGCCUUCGGGUUGUAAACCGCUUUCGCCUGUGACGAAGCGUGAGUGACGGUAAUGGGUAAAGAAGCACCGGCUAACUACGUGC
rnacentral:rRNA from 1 species